rnacentral:rRNA from 1 species
UACGUAGGGGGCUAGCGUUGUCCGGAUUUAUUGGGCGUAAAGAGCGUGUAGGCGGCCAGGUAGGUCCGUUGUGAAAACUCGAGGCUCAACCUCGAGACGUCGGCGGAAACCCUCUGGCUAGAGUCCGGAAGAGGAGAGUGGAAUUCCUGGUGUAGCGGUGAAAUGCGCAGAUAUCAGGAAGAACACCCGUGGCGAAGGCGGCUCUCUGGGGACGGUACUGACGCUGAGACGCGAAAGCGUGGGGAGCAAACAGG